rnacentral:rRNA from 1 species
UACGGAGAGUUUGAUCCUGGCUCAGGAUGAACGCUGGCGGCGUGCUUAACACAUGCAAGUCGAACGAUGAUGCCCAGCUUGCUGGGUGGAUUAGUGGCGAACGGGUGAGUAACACGUGAGCAACCUGCCCCUGACUCUGGGAUAAGCGCUGGAAACGGCGUCUAAUACUGGAUACGAGUAGCGAUCGCAUGGUCAGCUACUGGAAAGAUUUUUUGGUUGGGGAUGGGCUCGCGGCCUAUCAGCUUGUUGGUGAGGUAAUGGCUCACCAAGGCGUCGACGGGUAGCCGGCCUGAGAGGGUGACCGGCCACACUGGGACUGAGACACGGCCCAGACUCCUACGGGAGGCAGCAGUGGGGAAUAUUGCACAAUGGGCGGAAGCCUGAUGCAGCAACGCCGCGUGAGGGAUGACGGCCUUCGGGUUGUAAACCUCUUUUAGCAGGGAAGAAGCGAGAGUGACGGUACCUGCAGAAAAAGCGCCGGCUAACUACGUGCCAGCAGCCGCGGUAAUACGUAGGGCGCAAGCGUUAUCCGGAAUUAUUGGGCGUAAAGAGCUCGUAGGCGGUUUGUCGCGUCUGCUGUGAAAUCCCGAGGCUCAACCUCGGGCCUGCAGUGGGUACGGGCAGACUAGAGUGCGGUAGGGGAGAUUGGAAUUCCUGGUGUAGCGGUGGAAUGCGCAGAUAUCAGGAGGAACACCGAUGGCGAAGGCAGAUCUCUGGGCCGUAACUGACGCUGAGGAGCGAAAGGGUGGGGAGCAAACAGGCUUAGAUACCCUGGUAGUCCACCCCGUAAACGUUGGGAACUAGUUGUGGGGUCCAUUCCACGGAUUCCGUGACGCAGCUAACGCAUUAAGUUCCCCGCCUGGGGAGUACGGCCGCAAGGCUAAAACUCAAAGGAAUUGACGGGGACCCGCACAAGCGGCGGAGCAUGCGGAUUAAUUCGAUGCAACGCGAAGAACCUUACCAAGGCUUGACAUAUACGAGAACGGGCCAGAAAUGGUCAACUCUUUGGACACUCGUAAACAGGUGGUGCAUGGUUGUCGUCAGCUCGUGUCGUGAGAUGUUGGGUUAAGUCCCGCAACGAGCGCAACCCUCGUUCUAUGUUGCCAGCACGUAAUGGUGGGAACUCAUGGGAUACUGCCGGGGUCAACUCGGAGGAAGGUGGGGAUGACGUCAAAUCAUCAUGCCCCUUAUGUCUUGGGCUUCACGCAUGCUACAAUGGCCGGUACAAUGGGCAGCGAUACCGUGAGGUGGAGCGAAUCCCAAAAAGCCGGUCCCAGUUCGGAUUGAGGUCUGCAACUCGACCUCAUGAAGUCGGAGUCGCUAGUAAUCGCAGAUCAGCAACGCUGCGGUGAAUACGUUCCCGGGUCUUGUACACACCGCCCGUCAAGUCAUGAAAGUCGGUAACACCUGAAGCCGGUGGCCUAACCCCUUGUGGGAGGGAGCUGUCGAAGGUGGGAUCGGUAAUUAGGACUAAGUCGUAACAAGGUAGCCGUACCGGAAGGUGCGGCUGGAUCACCUCCUUU